GCCUGCUGGCCUGCCUUCACUGUCCUGGGGGAGGCAUGGAGAGACCAGGUGGACUGGAGUAGACUGUUGAGAGACACUGGUCUGGUGAAGAUGUCCAGGAAACCACGAGCCUCCAGCCCAUUGUCCAACAACCACCCACCAACACCAAAGAGGUUGCCAAGACAACCUGGAAGGGAACAGGGACCCGUCAAGGAAGUUCCAGGAACAAAAGGCUCUCCCUAA
rnacentral:lncRNA from 1 species